GGCUUCGUAGCUCAGCUGGUAGUGCACUUGCCGUGAUGAGACAUGAUAUUUUUGUCGCUGGUUCGAAUCCAGCCGAAGCCC